rnacentral:rRNA from 1 species
GACGAACGCUGGCGGCGUGCUUAACACAUGCAAGUCGAACGGAAAGGCCCUGCUUUUGUGGGGUGCUCGAGUGGCGAACGGGUGAGUAACACGUGAGUAACCUGCCCUUGACUUUGGGAUAACUUCAGGAAACUGGGGCUAAUACCGGAUAGGAGCUCCUGCUGCAUGGUGGGGGUUGGAAAGUUUCGGCGGUUGGGGAUGGACUCGCGGCUUAUCAGCUUGUUGGCGGGGUAGUGGCUUACCAAGGCUUUGACGGGUAGCCGGCCUGAGUGGGUGACCGGCCACAUUGGGACUGAGAUACGGCCCAGACUCCUACGGGAGGCAGCAGUGGGGAAUAUUGCACAAUGGGCGGAAGCCUGAUGCAGCAACGCCGCGUGCGGGAUGACGGCCUUCGGGCUGUAAACCGCUUUCGCCUGUGACGAAGCGUGAGUGACGGUAAUGGGUAAAGAAGCACCGGCUAACUACGUG